rnacentral:rRNA from 1 species
UACGUAGGGUGCGAGCGUUGUCCGGAAUUAUUGGGCGUAAAGGGCUCGUAGGCGGUUUGUCGCGUCGGGAGUGAAAACUCAGGGCUUAACCCUGAGCCUGCUUCCGAUACGGGCAGACUAGAGGUAUGCAGGGGAGAACGGAAUUCCUGGUGUAGCGGUGAAAUGCGCAGAUAUCAGGAGGAACACCGGUGGCGAAGGCAGUUCUCUGGGCCGUAACUGACGCUGAGGAGCGAAAGCGUGGGGAGCGAACAGG